rnacentral:misc_RNA from 1 species
AACGCACAUUGCGCCCCUUGGUAUUCCGGGGGGCACACCUGUUCGAGCGCCAUUUCGACCCUCAAGCAUAGCUUGGUGUUGGGCAUGGUCCAGGGGGACCUGCCCGUAACUCGUAGGCGGCCGCCGCCCGCGCCCCCAGCGUAGCAAGCUCACGCGUUCGCUCGGGGACGGCGCGUCUGGCCCGCCAGGCAAAAGCCUAACAACCUUUCCCAAGGUUUGGCCUCGGAUCAGGUGGGGAUACCCGCUGAACUUAA